CAAUCACGCCAGCGCGUUCUCCGUGUUCCGCCAAUCUCACAGCAGCGCGCUCGGCAAACUCUCUUCCCCACCGCGGUCCCCCCUUCCCCACCCACCGGAGACCGCGCCCUUCCCCCUUCCCCACAGCGGCCACCGGAUCUGGCAUGGCACACACCUGAGAUUGCGCUCUUCCCCACCGGAUCCAGCUUGGCGCACACCGGAGACCACGCCCUUCCCGCUUCCCCACCGCGGCCACCGGAUCCAGCAUGGCACACGCGCGCUCCGGCAUGGCGCAUCCACAGCGCGAACGCCCGAAAUGGAGCAGCGAGCAUCCAUGUACCCAUCGGAGACCAGGCCAUUCACCACCGCAGUCCCCACCCCACCCCAUCCCCCGCGCAUCACGCCCAACCCGCAUCCGGAUCCGGAAACUUUCAUUCACCUCCCAUGGUCGCUCUCCCCUGUUCGGAUCUAACAUUCGAGAGUUUGGUUCGGUCUCAAGCAGCGACGGCGUCACGGGCGUGGCAUCGAACGCGGACGCGGUGGCGAUGUGGAUGUGGAUGGUGUCCUGCAGGGCGCCCUGCGGCUGGUGCUCAAGUCCACAGGCGACACCACACCUUCAUCCUCGGUGCCUUCCACAACACCCCCAACAUCCCGACGGCUGGGCGACACGGGACGCGCGCUCCUCACGGUCUCCAACAUCCCGUUGGGUCGCCACCGCCUCUGCUGCAGUAUCCACCAUAAGACUACUCGGUGGAGGGCAAGGUCAAGGCAUCAUUCUGCUGUGUCAAGGCCAUGUGCUCCGAGCUCAUCCAUGUCUGCAAAGAUCUAUAGAAUUCAGUUCCAUUAUACGAAGACAUCAAUCGAUGAAAUCAUCUUUGCUUGAACGGAUGCCUGUAUUGGAUGAAGCUAAUUAUUUGGUGAAGAGAGCUGCUUCUAUACAGGCUGCAGUUCCAUCUGUAAAUUCUGCUCCAGCAGUCACUUCUGGAGGCCCAUUUAAGCUUCCUAAUGGUGUUGGAAAGCCUGCAGCUCCUUUAGCUGAUUUGCUUGAUUUGAGUUCUGAUGAUGCUCCGGUGACUACCUCGGCCCCUACAACAGCACCUAAUGAUUUUCUACAGGAUCUGUUGGGCAUUGGCUUGACUGAUUCGUCUCCUAUAGGCAGAGCUCCGUCUACAAGCACUGACAUUCUGAUGGAUCUUCUAUCUAUUGGUUCAUCUUCUGUACAAAAUGGACCACCAACGGCAAGGUGCUAGAUACUAAUUUCAGGAUCGGAGAACAUCCGCCGCGACUCCAUGCUCCAGGAGAUCAAGUCUGCCUACCAGAUUCUUGCCCACAAGUACCAUCCUGAUAUGAAUAAGAGUCCCGAAGCAGAAGAAAAGUUCAAGGAGAUCAGUGCUGCAUAUGAGCUUGGAUCUGACCGCUGUACUUUGUGUCGCCGCUUGAAUCUACGGUUCUCUUCUUCCUUGUUCAUCCCGUGGAUCUGUCCCGUGGUGGUCCAAGCAUUCGAUUUCUGCUAUUAUAACAUCCAACGUUGGCGGUGAAGAGCAAGGGGACAGAUAAGCCCAAAGGCAGCAAGGGGAACGUCGACAAGGACCCCAACAAGCCUGACUCCCAACAUUUUUUGUCCGCCGGUGCUGUAGCGGAAGCCCAAAGGCAGCAAGGGGAACGUCGACAAGGACCCCAACAAGGCUGACUCCCAACAUUUUUUGUCCGCCGGUGCUGUAGCGGCGGCGCUGGUGAGCUCCCCCAUGCUGGGCUCUGGGAUGCUCCCAGGCGCCGGGUUCGGCGAGACGGGGACUGAUCUGGUGCUGGGCUCUGGGAUGCUCCCAGGCGCCGCUGCCUUGCAGUUCCUCGGUCGAUUCAAGGGAAUAUUAUCAGUGGAAGAGACUGGUGAAUCAAAGGCCGUCAACGCUAGAUGGAGGCAAAGUGCCUGCUGCAUUGGGCCACCAUGUUUUUGGUGCGGGCUGUUCCUCACGGAACCAACAUAUCUACAUAUAUUUUUCAUCUUCUCAUCAAGGGAGUAUAUGGGUCGGGAGCAAGGUUCUACAUGACCUACUAGGGUAUGUAAAAAUUAUGGAAGUAGGGCCACGAGAUGGUCUACAGAAUGAGAAGGACAUCGUGCCAACACCUGUAAAGGUUGAGCUUAUACGAAGAUUGGCCACAUCCGGAUUACCUGUUGUGGAGGCAACGAGUUUUGUAUCUCCAAAACGGGUACCUCAGGCAGGACUGAGGCUGUUUCAUCCUCCUCUGCUGCGGGGUGGGCUAGGUCGUCACCAUGGCGUCACUCGUGGCGUCUUGUGCAGUAGGGACGACAGCAGGGAGCUGUCAAGAUGGGUUACCUCAAGAUGGACGAGGAGUUCCUCAAGAGGGGCGAGAGCGGGGGCACGUGCUGCGUCAUAGCCCUUCUCCGAAAGGGUAGACUAGUCGUCUCCAAUAUUGGAGACUGUCAUGUGGUGCUCAGCCGAGCAGGGAAGGCAAAGGUGCUCACCUCUGACCAUCGGGCCUCCCAGGAGGAUGAGAAGCAAAGAAUUGAGAAUUUGGGUGGAUUUGUGGUGAAUUACCAUGGGACAUGGAGAGUCCAGGGCUCCCUGGCAGUGUCUAGGGGCAAUGGGGAUGGACACCUAAAGCAGUGGGUUGUGGCUGACCGAGAGACUAGAACGCUCCUCAUCGACCACCAGUGCGAGUUCUUGAUACUUGCUUCUGAUGGCCUAUGGGGUAAGAUUGAUAAUCAGGAUGCAGUUGACCAAAACUCUAGGCAUUAGCACUAACAGAGACCGGUGGAAGGCAGGACUUUGCUGCCUAAAGUUUCCAUGAGUCAGCGCUAUUUUUGGGUGUUUAACAUUCAUUCUUUGUCAUAGAACCAUUUGUUAUAUUAUUAGAUGUAAUUAGAUCUAUUUGAUUCAUUCUUCGGAAAUAUUUAUUGAGAUAAUGCGGGGUGAUCUCUCGCUUCAUGAUCCAUUGACUGUAAAAGGCGAUUUGCCUAUGUUAAUACAAUGAUAUAUUCUAUUCA